rnacentral:tRNA from 1 species
GCUCGGUCGGUUAAGCAGCCAACUCUUGAUUUUGGCUCAAGUCAUGAUCUCAGGGUCGUGGGAUCGAGUCCCACAUCCAGCU